rnacentral:misc_RNA from 1 species
AGGACUUGAUGAUGCAAGAGCAAAAGAGAUGCCUUUUAUUGCGAGCAUGGGUAUAUAUGUAAUCAGCAAAGAUGUGAUGUUAAAAUUGCUCCGUGAAAACUUUCCUGAUGCCAACGAUUUCGGAAGUGAAGUUAUUCCUGGUGCAACUAGUAUUGGACUGAGGGUACAAGCUUACUUGUAUGAUGGGUACUGGGAAGACAUUGGUACGAUUGAAGCAUUCUAUAAUGCAAACCUGGGAAUUACUAAAAAGCCAGUUCCUGAUUUCAGCUUUUACGACCGGUCUUCCCCAAUUUACACGCAACCUCGAUAUUUGCCACCUUCUAAAAUGCUUGAUGCUGAUGUUACAGAU